GAGACAGCAGCCGCCACGGUAAUACGGAGGGUGCAAGCGUUAAUCGGAAUUACUGGGCGUAAAGCGCACGCAGGCGGUCUGUCAAGUCAGAUGUGAAAUCCCCGGGCUUAACCUGGGAACUGCAUUUGAAACUGGCAGGCUAGAGUCUUGUAGAGGGGGGUAGAAUUCCAGGUGUAGCGGUGAAAUGCGUAGAGAUCUGGAGGAAUACCGGUGGCGAAGGCGGCCCCCUGGACAAAGACUGACGCUCAGGUGCGAAAGCGUGGGGAGCAAACAGGAUUAGAUACCCGAGUAGUCCCUGUCUCUUAUAC
rnacentral:rRNA from 1 species